GUCGAACGGUGAAGCCCAGCUUGCUGGGUGGAUCAGUGGCGAACGGGUGAGUAACACGUGAGCAAUCUGCCCCUGACUCUGGGAUAAGCGCUGGAAACGGCGUCUAAUACUGGAUACGAACCGUGGAGGCAUCUUCAACGGUUGGAAAGAUUUUUUGGUCAGGGAUGAGCUCGCGGCCUAUCAGCUUGUUGGUGAGGUAAUGGCUCACCAAGGCGUCGACGGGUAGCCGGCCUGAGAGGGUGACCGGCCACACUGGGACUGAGACACGGCCCAGACUCCUACGGGAGGCAGCAGUGGGGAAUAUUGCACAAUGGGCGAAAGCCUGAUGCAGCAACGCCGCGUGAGGGAUGACGGCCUUCGGGUUGUAAACCUCUUUUAGCAGGGAAGAAGCGAAAGUGACGGUACCUGCAGAAAAAGCGCCGGCUAACUACGUGCCAGCAGCCGCGGUAAUACGUAGGGCGCAAGCGUUAUCCGGAAUUAUUGGGCGUAAAGAGCUCGUAGGCGGUUUGUCGCGUCUGCUGUGAAAUCCCGAGGCUCAACUUCGGGUCUGCAGUGGGUACGGGCAGACUAGAGUGCGGUAGGGGAGAUUGGAAUUCCUGGUGUAGCGGUGGAAUGCGCAGAUAUCAGGAGGAACACCGAUGGCGAAGGCAGAUCUCUGGGCCGUAACUGACGCUGAGGAGCGAAAGGGUGGGGAGCAAACAGGCUUAGAUACCCUGGUAGUCCACCCCGUAAACGUUGGGAACUAGUUGUGGGGUCCAUUCCACGGAUUCCGUGACGCAGCUAACGCAUUAAGUUCCCCGCCUGGGGAGUACGGCCGCAAGGCUAAAACUCAAAGGAAUUGACGGGGACCCGCACAAGCGGCGGAGCAUGCGGAUUAAUUCGAUGCAACGCGAAGAACCUUACCAAGGCUUGACAUAUACGAGAACGCUGCAGAAAUGUAGAACUCUUUGGACACUCGUAAACAGGUGGUGCAUGGUUGUCGUCAGCUCGUGUCGUGAGAUGUUGGGUUAAGUCCCGCAACGAGCGCAACCCUCGUUCUAUGUUGCCAGCACGUAAUGGUGGGAACUCAUGGGAUACUGCCGGGGUCAACUCGGAGGAAGGUGGGGAUGACGUCAAAUCAUCAUGCCCCUUAUGUCUUGGGCUUCACGCAUGCUACAAUGGCCGGUACAAAGGGCUGCAAUACCGUGAGGUGGAGCGAAUCCCAAAAAGCCGGUCCCAGUUCGGAUUGAGGUCUGCAACUCGACCUCAUGAAGUCGGAGUCGCUAGUAAUCGCAGAUCAGCAACGCUGCGGUGAAUACGUUCCCGGGUCUUGUACACACCGCCCGUCAAGUCAUGAAAGUCGGUAACACCUGAAGCCGGUGGCCCAACCCUUGUGGAGGGAGCC
rnacentral:rRNA from 1 species